UUAAAGGGAAAAAGAUAGAAUUUCCUACAUGAUUGACCAAAUGGAUAACCUUGAGACUACUUGAAUUUUCUUUCUAACCCCACCCACAUGGCCAGCCAAAAAGUGAACAACCUUUACUAUUUUCUUCUUCUUAUCAUAUUAAAUACUAGAACCUUCACUUUCCUUUGUCCUUAAGCAUUUUCCUUUCAUUUUUCAACUUCACCGUCACUUUCUCCCUUGUGUAAUUUUUCUUCCUCCAAAUCGUGGCUUUCACCAUACCAACCAGACCUUAAGCUCUUAUCACCAUCUCCUCCCAUGUUUCUUCCUUUUUGUCUUUCCUUCAAAUGAAAUUCUUCUCUUUUCCUUCCCCAUAGCCAAAUUUAAGGAGGAUUGGUGAUUUGCCUCAAGAUUUCCAAGCAAAAAAAAUCUUAGGUGUGAAGAGGUGGUGAACUGUAGUUAGGAAAUUCAAACAUAAAUCAAGGGAUACAUACUUGAAUUGAUAGCGAAGUAGGAUCCCGCUAUUAUAAGAUAAGUAAUCAGUUUUAGGAUUUUGUUCAACAUCACGAGGUUGGCGACACACUAGGUAACGACAUCUCUAGACUUCCACUCCGAGUUACUCCACUGCCUAGAGGUCGGUUUGUGUAUCAUAUAGUCUAGUUGGUAAAAAUCAAUAGUCACUAGGAAUGUAAUGGCUAAAGCUUAAGGUGAUGUAAUAAUGUUUAUAUAUUAGGAUGAGUUGUAU